rnacentral:rRNA from 1 species
UACGAAGGGUGCAAGCGUUACUCGGAAUUACUGGGCGUAAAGCGUGCGUAGGUGGUUCGUUAAGUCUGAUGUGAAAGCCCUGGGCUCAACCUGGGAAUGGCAUUGGAAACUGGCGACCUAGAGUGCGGUAGAGGGUAGUGGAAUUCCCGGUGUAGCGGUGAAAUGCGCAGAUAUCGGGAGGAACACCAAUGGCGAAGGCAGCUCGCUGGGACGUGACUGACGCUGAGACGCGAAAGCGUGGGGAGCAAACAGG